GACGAACGCUGGCGGCGUGCUUAACACAUGCAAGUCGAACGGCAACGCCCUGCUUUUUUGGGCUGCUCGAGUGGCGAACGGGUGCGUAACACGUGAGUAACCUGCCCUUGACUUUGGGAUAACUUCAGGAAACUGGGGCUAAUACCGUAUAGGAGCUCCUGCUGCAUGGUGGGGGUUGGAUAGUUUCGGCGGUUGCGGUUGGACUCGCGGCUUAUCAGCUUGUUGGUGGGGUAGUGGCUUACCAAGGCAUUGACGGGUAGCCGGCCUGGGAGGGUGACCGGGCACAAUGGGACUAAGAGAGGGAGCAGAGGGGAACGGGAGGCAGCAGGGGGGAGUAUGGCACAGUGGGAGGAAGCGGGAGGAGACAACGCUGCGGGCGGGAUGACGGCCUGCGGGGUGAGAACAGCUGUAGGCUAUGACGAAGCGGGAGUGACGGUAAUGGAUAAAGAAGCACCGGCUAACUACGUG
rnacentral:rRNA from 1 species